ensembl:lncRNA
GGAAAUAGUUUUUAUCUCAGCCCUCUGAUUCUAGUUGGUGUUAGUUUUCAUUUUUUCCUUUCUAAUCUCUGGCCAUUGCCACUGGGAGUGGGGGGUGAGUGAACAACUGCGUGCUUCUAAGCUGCCUGCCAGGUUAAACCACAACAACUUAAAAGUAAUAUAGAAGCAGGAAAGCAGCAAUUUUGUUCAUUUUAUUUUUGAGAAGUUGCAACAUUUAUCCAUGCUUUGCUGGCUUUGUGGAGCCCUGAUGAAGUGCCUCCAAUAAGCAAGCAAUGGCAUCUAAAUAAUUUAAGGGAACAUUCACAGCAUUAUAAUGACUACUAACCCAUCUGAAGAGUAAAGGUCAGUAAAUCUAUUAGGGUUCUUGUGCUUUGCCUUGCUGAUAUUUCCAAUUCUGUUAGCUCAUUUCCCUCUUAUUUUUAAGAAAGGCUGUACAAUUUGACCUUGAAUUGAUUAGUGGCUUAUACCUUUAAUUGUACUGCAAGCAGCAGUUAUAAAAACACAAGAAAGACGAGACUACAUAAACAUUGACAAACUUUUUUAGUUCAGUUUUAAUUAGCAUUUCCUCGGCUAAUUGUGGUCCAGUAGACUAUGCAACAUCACACAAUCAGCUAUAAUUGUAUUCACAUCAGAAAUUGUUUAACAGGUUUGUGACCCAUUAAUAAAUUAAAUUCAUUUAGCAAUAUGGCACUCAUCGCCCAACUUUCACUGAAAGCAUUCAGCUGCAGAAGUUCAGUGCACUGGCUAAAAGGUAAGAGGCACAGGCUUCCCUUCAUUGUUUUGAUACUGCCUCAUGCUAUAACCACAAGCUCAGUCUUCCUGUGUCAUUUGUUUUCUGUCUGUAUCGGUGCUAUUGAAGAUAACAGGAAAAACAACAACAACAACAACAACAAAAACACUCUUCUUUGAAGAUUGCUGGCAGCGAAAAUAAAUUGCUCAAUAUUAUGAGGAUUAGAAUUAGUAUUUCUGUUGGAUCAAGGACAAAAGUCAAAGAAAAUUGAGAUUUAUGAACCUCACAAUAAGUUGUUUGGAUUGAAGCUGGAGGAGCAAAAUAUUCUUCUGCUAAAAAAAAGAGAAAGUUGGGGGAGGAAAAGCAACUGCUGGCAUUUGUGAUGCAGAAUCCAGCUGUUUGAAACUAGGACUGAAAGAAAAGCAAAGUGCAUCACAUAUAAUCCAAUCAAGUUGACACCUCUGAUCUCCAUUUAAAGGCUACGUGUGACAGAAAUGUUUGAAAUUCUAUAUGAUUUUUUCCCUAUUUUUUUCUGUUUGAACAAUGGCAACAAUUCAAGAGAAUAUGACAAAGCAGUAAAA